rnacentral:snRNA from 1 species
GUGCUCACUUCGGCAGCACAUAUACUAAAAUUGGAACUAUACAGAUAAGAUUAGCAUGGCCCCUGUGCAAGGAUGACAUUCAAAUUUAUGAAGUGUUCCAUAUUUUU